rnacentral:rRNA from 1 species
UCGUCAGGACGAACGCUGGCGGCGUGCCUAACACAUGCAAGUCGAGCGAGGAGAUCCUUCGGGAUGAUCCUAGCGGCGGACGGGUGAGUAACACGUGGGCAACCUGCCUCAUAGAGAGGAAUAGCCUUCCGAAAGGGAGAUUAAUACCUCAUAACAUUGCAGUUUCGCAUGGAACAGCAAUUAAAGGAGUAAUCCGCUAUGAGAUGGGCCCGCGGCGCAUUAGCUAGUUGGUGAGGUAACGGCUCACCAAGGCGACGAUGCGUAGCCGACCUGAGAGGGUGAUCGGCCACAUUGGGACUGAGACACGGCCCAGACUCCUACGGGAGGCAGCAGUGGGGAAUAUUGCACAAUGGGGGAAACCCUGAUGCAAGCAACGCCGCGUGAGUGAUGACGGCCUUCGGGUUGUAAAGCUCUGUCUUCAGGGACGAUAAUGACGGUACCUGAGGAGGAAGCCACGGCUAACUACGUGCCAGCCGCAGC